AAAAACAUGGCUUUUUGAGAAUAAUUUUAAGUCAGGCCUGCCCUAUGAAUUUUUUUUAAAUGGCCGCAGUAUCCUAACUGUGCAAAGGUAGCACAAUCACUAGUUUUUUAAUUGAAAGCUGGAAUGAAAGGUCGGAUGAGAAAGUAGCUGUCUCUAUAAAAAUUUAAUUGAAUUUUAUUUUUAAGUAAAAAAGCUUAAAUUUAUGUAAAAGACGAGAAGACCCUAUAGAGUUUUAUAUUUACAAAAAAAUAAAAUUUUGCUUUAGUAUUUUAAAAAAUUUGUUUUAAAAAAAUAUUUGGUUGGGGUGAUUGGAAAAUUAAAUAAACUUUUCUUCUUUUUAACAUUUAUUUAUGAGCAAAUGAUCCUUUAUUUGAGAUUAUAAGAUAAAAUUACCUUAGGGAUAACAGCGUAAUUUUUUUUGAGAGUUCAAAUCGAUAAAAAAGAUUGCGACCUCGAUGUUGGAUUAAAUUAAAUUUUUGGUGUAGUCGCUAAAAUAAUUAGGUCUGUUCGACCUUUAAAAUUUUACUUGAUCUGAGUU
rnacentral:rRNA from 1 species